GUGAGGAAUAUUGCGCAAUGGAGGCAACUCUGACGCAGCCAUGCCGCGUGCAGGAAGAAGGCGCUACGCGUUGUAAACUGCUUUUAACCGGGAAGAAACCCCAGGACGUGUCCUGGGUUGACGGUACCGGAGGAAUAAGCACCGGCUAACUUCGUGCCAGCAGCCGCGGUAAUACGAAGGGUGCAAGCGUUAUCCGGAUUCAUUGGGUUUAAAGGGUGCGUAGGCGGAGCGUUAAGUCAGUGGUGAAAUCCUGCAGCUUAACUGUAGACUUGCCAUUGAUACUGGCGCUCUUGAGUGCGCUUGAAGUGGGCGGAAUGUGCCGUGUAGCGGUGAAAUGCUUAGAUAUGGCACAGAACACCAAUUGCGAAGGCAGCUCACUAAGGCGAUACUGACGCUGAGACACGAAAGCGUGGGGAUCGAACAGGAUUAGAUACCCUGGUAGUCC
rnacentral:rRNA from 1 species